rnacentral:rRNA from 1 species
UACGUAGGGUGCGAGCGUUAAUCGGAAUUACUGGGCGUAAAGCGUGCGCAGGCGGUUGUAUAAGACAGAUGUGAAAUCCCCGGGCUCAACCUGGGAACUGCAUUUGUGACUGUACGGCUUGAGUGCGGCAGAGGGGGAUGGAAUUCCGCGUGUAGCAGUGAAAUGCGUAGAUAUGCGGAGGAACACCAAUGGCGAAGGCAGCCCCCUGGGUCGAUACUGACGCUCAUGCACGAAAGCGUGGGUAGCAAACAGGAUUAGAAACCCUAGUAGU